GGGUUGUGAGGUUAAGCGACUAAGCGUACACGGUGGAUGCCCUGGCAGUCAGAGGCGAUGAAGGACGUGCUAAUCUGCGAUAAGCGCCGGUAAGGUGAUAUGAACCGUUAUAACCGGCGAUUUCCGAAUGGGGAAACCCAGUGUGACUCGUCACACUAUCAUUAACUGAAUCCAUAGGUUAAUGAGGCGAACCGGGGGAACUGAAACAUCUAAGUACCCCGAGGAAAAGAAAUCAACCGAGAUUCCCCCAGUAGCGGCGAGCGAACGGGGAGGAGCCCAGAGCCUGAAUCAGCAUGUGUGUUAGUGGAAGCGUCUGGAAAGGCGCGCGAUACAGGGUGACAGCCCCGUACACAAAAGCGCAUGUGCUGUGAGCUCGAUGAGUAGGGCGGGACACGUGGUAUCCUGUCUGAAUAUGGGGGGACCAUCCUCCAAGGCUAAAUACUCCUGACUGACCGAUAGUGAACCAGUACCGUGAGGGAAAGGCGAAAAGAACCCCGGCGAGGGGAGUGAAAAAGAACCUGAAACCGUGUACGUACAAGCAGUGGGAGCACAGGUUUACCUGUGUGACUGCGUACCUUUUGUAUAAUGGGUCAGCGACUUAUAUUCUGUAGCAAGGUUAACCGAAUAGGGGAGCCGGAGGGAAACCGAGUCUUAAUUGGGCGUUAAGUUGCAGGGUAUAGACCCGAAACCCGGUGAUCUAGCCAUGGGCAGGUUGAAGGUUGGGUAACACUAACUGGAGGACCGAACCGACUAAUGUUGAAAAAUUAGCGGAUGACCUGUGGCUGGGGGUGAAAGGCCAAUCAAACCGGGAGAUAGCUGGUUCUCCCCGAAAGCUAUUUAGGUAGCGCCUCGUGAAUUCAUCUCCGGGGGUAGAGCACUGUUUCGGCUAGGGGGCCAUCCCGGCUUACCAACCCGAUGCAAACUGCGAAUACCGGAGAAUGUUAUCACGGGAGACACACGGCGGGUGCUAACGUCCGUCGUGAAGAGGGAAACAACCCAGACCGCCAGCUAAGGUCCCAAAGUCAUGGUUAAGUGGGAAACGAUGUGGGAAGGCCCAGACAGCCAGGAUGUUGGCUUAGAAGCAGCCAUCAUUUAAAGAAAGCGUAAUAGCUCACUGGUCGAGUCGGCCUGCGCGGAAGAUGUAACGGGGCUAAACCAUGCACCGAAGCUGCGGCAGCGACACUGUGUGUUGUUGGGUAGGGGAGCGUUCUGUAAGCCUGCGAAGGUGGCCUGUGAGGGUUGCUGGAGGUAUCAGAAGUGCGAAUGCUGACAUAAGUAACGAUAAAGCGGGUGAAAAGCCCGCUCGCCGGAAGACCAAGGGUUCCUGUCCAACGUUAAUCGGGGCAGGGUGAGUCGACCCCUAAGGCGAGGCCGAAAGGCGUAGUCGAUGGGAAACGGGUUAAUAUUCCCGUACUUGGUGUUACUGCGAAGGGGGGACGGAGAAGGCUAUGUUGGCCGGGCGACGGUUGUCCCGGUUUAAGCGUGUAGGUGUGUGUUCCAGGUAAAUCCGGUUCACUUUAACACUGAGGCGUGACGACGAGGCACUACGGUGCUGAAGCAACAAAUGCCCUGCUUCCAGGAAAAGCCUCUAAGCAUCAGGUAACAUCAAAUCGUACCCCAAACCGACACAGGUGGUCAGGUAGAGAAUACCAAGGCGCUUGAGAGAACUCGGGUGAAGGAACUAGGCAAAAUGGUGCCGUAACUUCGGGAGAAGGCACGCUGACACGUAGGUGAAGUGAUUUACUCAUGGAGCUGAAGUCAGUCGAAGAUACCAGCUGGCUGCAACUGUUUAUUAAAAACACAGCACUGUGCAAACACGAAAGUGGACGUAUACGGUGUGACGCCUGCCCGGUGCCGGAAGGUUAAUUGAUGGGGUCAGCGCAAGCGAAGCUCCUGAUCGAAGCCCCGGUAAACGGCGGCCGUAACUAUAACGGUCCUAAGGUAGCGAAAUUCCUUGUCGGGUAAGUUCCGACCUGCACGAAUGGCGUAAUGAUGGCCAGGCUGUCUCCACCCGAGACUCAGUGAAAUUGAACUCGCUGUGAAGAUGCAGUGUACCCGCGGCAAGACGGAAAGACCCCGUGAACCUUUACUAUAGCUUGACACUGAACAUUGAGCCUUGAUGUGUAGGAUAGGUGGGAGGCUUUGAAGUGUGGACGCCAGUCUGCAUGGAGCCGACCUUGAAAUACCACCCUUUAAUGUUUGAUGUUCUAACGUGGACCCGUAAUCCGGGUUGCGGACAGUGUCUGGUGGGUAGUUUGACUGGGGCGGUCUCCUCCUAAAGAGUAACGGAGGAGCACGAAGGUUGGCUAAUCCUGGUCGGACAUCAGGAGGUUAGUGCAAUGGCAUAAGCCAGCUUGACUGCGAGCGUGACGGCGCGAGCAGGUGCGAAAGCAGGUCAUAGUGAUCCGGUGGUUCUGAAUGGAAGGGCCAUCGCUCAACGGAUAAAAGGUACUCCGGGGAUAACAGGCUGAUACCGCCCAAGAGUUCAUAUCGACGGCGGUGUUUGGCACCUCGAUGUCGGCUCAUCACAUCCUGGGGCUGAAGUAGGUCCCAAGGGUAUGGCUGUUCGCCAUUUAAAGUGGUACGCGAGCUGGGUUUAGAACGUCGUGAGACAGUUCGGUCCCUAUCUGCCGUGGGCGCUGGAGAACUGAGGGGGGCUGCUCCUAGUACGAGAGGACCGGAGUGGACGCAUCACUGGUGUUCGGGUUGUCAUGCCAAUGGCACUGCCCGGUAGCUAAAUGCGGAAGAGAUAAGUGCUGAAAGCAUCUAAGCACGAAACUUGCCCCGAGAUGAGUUCUCCCUGAGACUUAGAGUCUCCUGAAGGAACGUUGAAGACGACGACGUUGAUAGGCCGGGUGUGUAAGCGCAGCGAUGCGUUGAGCUAACCGGUACUAAUGAACCGUGAGGCUUAACCUUACAACGCCAAAG
rnacentral:rRNA from 4 species